rnacentral:lncRNA from 1 species
UUAACAUGAGUUGAAUUUCCAUUGUAUGAACUCCAAGAGACUUGGGAGAGUAUAUAAUAUAUAACCAUUGAUUGGCAGAUGAGUAAAAAGAUGACUGAAAUUAUUCAGCUGAUUUUACAAACAAGGGAAUAAACCAUAACUUUACGAGCAAAACUCCUGUUUAUGGAUUAAGUAACCGAAGAAGUUACUUCUCCUUUUCGACUUUCUUUCCAAUCCAUCUGGCUACAAUGGAAGCGAGAGCCACUGUUGGAAGAAACCCAAUUGGAGAGAUGCAGCCUUGUGUGCAGCA